CCUACGGGAGGCAGCAGUGAGGAAUAUGGGUCAAUGGACGCAAGUCUGAACCAGCCAUGCCGCGUGCAGGAUGACGGUCCUAUGGAUUGUAAACUGCUUUUGUACGAGAAGAAACACUCCUAUGUAUAGGAGCUUGACGGUAUCGUAAGAAUAAGGAUCGGCUAACUCCGUGCCAGCAGCCGCGGUAAU
rnacentral:rRNA from 1 species